AAUUUGUACACUUUCGGAAGAUUAUUUUCAAGAUUAGUGAAGAUUGGAGUCGAAAUUGUUAUACCUAUUUAAAGAAGAAGGAAUAAUUGGUGAUAGUUAGUGAUUAUUCAUCUCAACCGUGGCUCCUGUUGUACGCAACCUGUGAAGAAAAGAUUAGUAAACAGAAAAAUAAUCGAUUCAGAAAGCAGGCAAAAACGGUGCGCGGAGAUAAGAAUUUUCGGAUAAUUAAAGAUUGGUAGAGGAAAUCGUGAGUGCACGGAGGGAAAAACAUAGGUGAAAACUAUUUAUUUUUGAGCUGUACAACAAAAUACUGCUACAAAAAAAGUUUACCGUUCUAUCCGAACAAUACUGUUUACCAUCGACGUCGACGACGUAAGAUCUUUCAUUCCAUUUCUUGCUUAUAUCACCUGCGCUCCAAAGCUUUGACGUAUCAGGGUGCAACUGUACGUACACUGGUGAUCCGAUCUCUAACUCUGGCAGCUGCCGAGUUUUCUUAUCAUAACAUUCCUUUGCACGUCUUCUGUUAUUUUCGAUUUUACGUGGAACGUUCUCUACAACUUUCGGGCAUAGACUAUCAAUUGUCAUUUUAAUAGUUUCGAUAGCAAACGAAAGUUAUGUUAAUGAGCCUUUAUCAAAAUUAUAACCUAA